UACACUUACAGAGAGUUUGAUCGUGGCUCAGAACGAACGCUGGCGGCAGGCUUAACACAUACAAGUCGAGCGCCCCGCAAGGGGAGCGGCAGACGGGUGAGUAACGCGUGGGAAUGUACCCUUUUGUUCGGAAUAACUCAGGGAAACGGGUGGUAAUACCGUAUACGCCCUUCGGGGGAAAGAUUUAUCGCGAAAGGAUGAGCCCGCGUUGGAUUAGGUAGUUGGUGGGGUAAAGGCUUACCAAGGCGACGAUCCAUAGCUGGUCUGAGAGGAUGAUCAGCCACAUUGGGACUGAGACACGGCCCAAACUCCUACGGGAGGCAGCAGUGGGGAAUAUUGGACAAUGGGCGCAAGCCUGAUCCAGCCAUGCCGCGUGAGUGAUGAAGGCCCUAGGGUUGUAAAGCUCUUUCACCGGUGAAGAUAAUGAC
rnacentral:rRNA from 1 species